GACGAACGCUGGCGGUGUGCUUAACACAUGCAAGUCGAACGAUGAAGCCGGAGCUUGCUCUGGUGAAUUAGUGGCGAACGGGUGAGUAACACGUGAGUAACCUGCCCUUGACUCUGGGAUAACUGCUAGAAAUGGUAGCUAAUACCGGAUACGACCCUCGGAGGCAUCUCCAGUGGGUGGAAAGAAUUUCGGUCAAGGAUGGACUCGCGGCCUAUCAGCUAGUUGGUGAGGUAACGGCUCACCAAGGCGACGACGGGUAGCCGGCCUGAGAGGGUGACCGGCAACACUGGGACUGAGACACGGCCCAGACUCCUACGGGAGGCAGCAGUGGGGAAUAUUGCACAAUGGGCGCAAGCCUGAUGCAGCAAAGCCGCGUGAGGGAUGACGGCCUUCGGGUUGUAAACCUCUUUUAGUAGGGAAGAAGCGAAAGUGACGGUACCUGCAGAAAAAGCACCGGCUAACUACGUGCCAGCAGCCGCCGUAA
rnacentral:rRNA from 1 species